AAAGAACGUGAUGUUGCACCAGAUAGCAACACCAUAAUCCAAAGGUUUAUGGUAUUCAAGUAUACAUGUGUUAGGAGUCCUUUUCCAAUCUUUUGUGUACCAUUCUUUUACACAAUUCUCUUUUAGAUCUUACUGUAAAACAAUGAAAGAAAAUAACAAUAGUUUUUUGGGUUUUGAACUACCCCUUCAUUACAAAUAUACUAGUUCCGGACAUCUGUCAUAACCUAGGUCGAUCAAGAUUGAUUUGAAAAUUUAACAAGCUUAAAGUCGUGUUCAAGCUUCGCUUUUUUAUCUGUUGGCCAAAUUCAUGACUUUUACAUGUGCCAAAUUCAGAAAAUUAACAAGCUUUGAGAUUGAAGCUUGGCUUGUUUACUUAACAAGUUAAUCUCAAGCAACUUUAACAAGUUGAACUCAAAUAGCUUAUAGUACCUUACAUAGUGCAUGCUAAUCAACGAAAUUGGAGGCUGAAUGUAUUUCCAAUUCUUGAGCUCGGUUCAUCAAAUUAGUUGAAUUUCCCGCGUUUUUCAUUUGCAGAAACCUAUCGAAUUAAGCUUAUAAUUCCCAUAACCGUUACCUACCCUCAUUUCCAUGUAAAAUGAACACCUGAGAAACUUUAGGUUGUAUUUAGAUCAAGAAUACAGAGAGGGAUUUUUGAAUUUUUGGAGGAAAAAAAAACGCGAGGAAUAAGAUUAAAUCCGAAUCACGAGAUCUUCUAAUUUCUCACUUUCACUUUCAUUUUUAUUCAAUGAUUAUUUCUCCAAACACAAUCACAAAAGCCUUACAAGCAGGCGGACUUUUAGAACAGAGUCAAAUUCAAACAGAAGGAAGUUCCCUAUUUCCUCAUUAGCAGCUAAGCCAAAAUAAUCCACCAUUUCAUGUAAAGCAUUCACUCAGUUGAACUCGACAACCAAAUUCAAAACCUUCAAAAACAGUCAUGAGGCUAAUUAACAUGCCCUACUACUAAACCAAGAUGACUAAUCACCCCACCAGUUUUCUUCACUUCGAUUAUAGUUGUGUCGUUUAGAAAACUCUAGGUUUAUAUGUAGAGGUGUCCAAUGCGCCGGUGUUGUGUUGUGCCAGUCUGACUCAUUAUUUUCGUAUUUUUUUUAUGAACUAGUUUUAAGGUCAUCAAAAACCUAAAAUUAUUUAAAUUUGCUUACCCACUCUGUGGCCCCCGUGCCUUAAAAUAAGGGUUCGGCCCGGAGCCCCAUCACUAUGAUUGUGCCUCAUUUACCUAACUUCUUUUCUUGUGCCUGUUGCCAAUCCGGCCCACUUGACAUCACUAGUUACAUGAAGUAGGAUAUUUUAUUCCUGCUUCCAUUGAUGUAAAAUGUAAGCUUUGAUACAAGAAGCACUUCAUACGAAGGAAACAAAUAUUUCUACACUAGAAAAAUCAUAGACAGACUCGAACUCUCUUCUAAAUUGGCCAUUUUGAAACUCUGUGCUCUCCAGCAGCAGCAACUUUGAAAGCCUUGUGAUAACAGAUACAGGUAAAUGGGGAUGCGUUACAUUAAAGGAAACAUGAUAUACUCGGCAUAGAAAAGAUUCCAUUAUAAUCGAUAGAAACCCCCCAACAUUGCUUCCUGAAAGAUGCGGCAAAGAAUGGGGGGGAGGGGGGGGGGGAUUGAGUUUUGUCAAUACUCCCAACCGGAUAGGUGGUAUAAUUCAAUUUUGAAAAUAUGUCAACAUUCCAGUUUCAGUAGUCUUUGGCAAUAUAUGGUUUAUUCAUUUUUAAAAAGUCACUUGUCAGCUUUCAAAUUGGAAAUUCAAGUGCUAGCAAGAUGGUUUAUUUAUCUUAUACAAGGGAUUGCAACCUUUCAAUUCCAUAGAGACCAAUUAUGUCAUUUUACUAGCUUUGUGUUUAAGUGGUCGUUAGUUUGAGUUCUUUUAGGGUCACUAGAAGUUUGCUCAGCUGUUAACUAUAAGGUCUAAAAUUAGUUUCUCACAAACCUAAUUGGGUUGGACGGGAAUACUGGGAUAUGAAAGAAAAAAAAUUAUUUUUCCAACAAAACGUGAUUUUUUGAGACUGAUGCAAUUAAACUGAAGGACCGCUUCAUAGAAAUAUUAGUCCGAUUUUCUUUCUUCCUACGUUUAAUGUUAAGAGGGGUAAGAAUCUCCAUGUUCCCAAGAUAAACCACAAUAUAAUUAUUCUCUUGUCAUUUUUCUAUUUUGAGAUGUCUCAAAAUAUACGUCCAAUUCCAAAAAUUAACACAGAAAAUAUGCCAUUUUUCUCAUUUUUCACGUUUUUUUCUCCCGGAAUAAAAUCAUAUGAAUGAUAUCUCUCUCAACCAUUUCCAAGCCCUUUCUAAAAGGAUUACACACAAGACUAUCAAAAUGUUGAAAUGCAAUUACAAUCGUUCAUAAAAUUAGAAAUAGGUAAUACAUGUGUAUAGUUUGCUUUUUCCAAUCACCACGCUUGAAAUCACAUGCAAUGAAAUAUUGAUUAAAAGAUUAGAUAACUGAUAUAAGAAAAGUAAGACGAGAACAAAUACCGAACAAG
rnacentral:lncRNA from 1 species